CCUACGGGAGGCAGCAGUGGGGAAUAUUGCACAAUGGGCGAAAGCCUGAUGCAGCAACGCCGCGUGAGGGAAGAAGGUCUUCGGAUUGUAAACCUCUGUCCUCAGGGACGAAAAAAGACGGUACCAAAGGAGGAAGCCACGGCUAACUACGUGCCAGCAGCCGCGGUAAU
rnacentral:rRNA from 1 species